AUUGAACGCUGGCGGCAUGCCUUACACAUGCAAGUCGAACGGUAACAGGUCUUCGGAUGCUGACGAGUGGCGAACGGGUGAGUAAUACAUCGGAACGUGCCCGAUCGUGGGGGAUAACGAAGCGAAAGCUUUGCUAAUACCGCAUAAGAUCUACGGAUGAAAGCAGGGGACCGCAAGGCCUUGUGCGAACGGAGCGGCCGAUGGCAGAUUAGGUAGUUGGUGGGAUAAAAGCUUACCAAGCCGACGAUCUGUAGCUGGUCUGAGAGGACGACCAGCCACACUGGGACUGAGACACGGCCCAGACUCCUACGGGAGGCAGCAGUGGGGAAUUUUGGACAAUGGGCGAAAGCCUGAUCCAGCCAUGCCGCGUGCAGGAUGAAGGCCUUCGGGUUGUAAACUGCUUUUGUACGGAACGAAAAGACUCUUUCUAAUAAAGAGGGUCCAUGACGGUACCGUAAGAAUAAGCACCGGCUAACUACGUGCCAGCAGCCGCGGUAAGAC
rnacentral:rRNA from 1 species